rnacentral:rRNA from 1 species
CUUCGGGAUUUAGUGGCGGACGGGUGAGUAACACGUAAGAACCUGCCUCUAGGACGGGGACAACAGUUGGAAACGACUGCUAAACCCGGAUGAGCCGAAAGGUAAAAGAUUAAUCGCCUAGAGAGGGGCUUGCGUCUGAUUAGCUAGUUGGUGAGGUAAGAGCCCACCAAGGCGACGAUCAGUAGCUGGUCUGAGAGGAUGAUCAGCCACACUGGGACUGAGACACGGCCCAGACUCCUACGGGAGGCAGCAGUGGGGAAUUUUCCGCAAUGGGCGAAAGCCUGACGGAGCAAGACCGCGUGGGGGAGGAAGGUUCUUGGAUUGUCAACCCCUUUUCUCAGGGAAGAACACAAUGACGGUACCUGAGGAAAAAGCAUCGGCUAACUCCGUGCCAGCAGCCGCGGUAAUACGGGGGAUGCAAGCGUUAUCCGGAAUGAUUGGGCGUAAAGAGUCCGUAGGUAGUCAUCCAAGUCUGCUGUUAAAGAGCGAGGCUUAACCUCGUAAAGGCAGUGGAAACUGGAAGACUAGAGUGUAGUAGGGGCAGAGGGAAUUCCUGGUGUAGCGGUGAAAUGCGUAGAGAUCAGGAAGAACACCGGUGGCGAAGGCGCUCUGCUGGGCUAUAACUGACACUGAGGGACGAAAGCUAGGGGAGCGAAUGGGAUUAGAUACCCCAGUAGUCCUAGCGGUAAACGAUGGAAACUAGGUGUGGCCUGUAUCGACCCGGGCCGUGCCGAAGCAAACGCGUUAAGUUUCCCGCCUGGGGAGUACGCACGCAAGUGUGAAACUCAAAGGAAUUGACGGGGGCCCGCACAAGCGGUGGAGUAUGUGGUUUAAUUCGAUGCAACGCGAAGAACCUUACCAGGACUUGACAUCUCUGGAAUCUCCUUGAAAGGGGAGAGUGCCGUAAGGAACCAGAAGACAGGUGCUGCAUGGCUGUCGUCAGCUCGUGUCGUGAGAUGUUGGGUUAAGUCCCGCAACGAGCGCAACCCUCGUCGUUAGUUGCCAUCAUUAAGUUGGGAACUCUAGCGAGACUGCCGGUGACAAACCGGAGGAAGGUGAGGAUGACGUCAAGUCAGCAUGGCCCUUACGUCCUGGGCGACACACGUACUACAAUGCGAGGGACACAGAGCAGCCAACCCGCGAGGGAGAGCGAAUCUCAUAAACCCUGGCACAGUUCAGAUUGCAGGCUGCAACUCGCCUGCAUGAAGGAGGAAUCGCUAGUAAUCGCAGGUCAGCAUACUGCGGUGAAUCCGUUCCCGGGCCUUGUACACACCGCCCGUCACACCAUGGAAGUGAGCCACGCCCGAGUCAUUACUCUAACCCUUUCGGGGGAGGAGGGUGCCGAAGGCGGGGUUGAUGACUGGGGU